GAGUUUGAUCCUGGCUCAGAACGAACGCUGGCGGCGUGGAUAAGACAUGCAAGUCGAGCGAGAUUUUUUCUUGUAGCAAUACAGGGAAAAGUCUAGCGGCGAACGGGUGCUUAACACGUGGGCAACCUGCCGUGAAGUGGGGGAUAGCUCGCCGAAAGGCGAAUUAAUACCGCAUGUGAUUAGAGAGGACAUCCUUUCGAAAUUAAGGUCGGGGCAACCUGACGCUUCUUGUGGGGCCCGCGGCCUAUCAGCUAGUUGGUGAGGUAAAAGCUCACCAAGGCUAUGACGGGUAGGGGGUGUGAGAGCACGGCCCCCAACGACGAAACUGAGAUACGGUUCGUACACCUACGGGUGGCAGCAGUCGAGAAUAUUCGACAAUGGGCGAAAGCCUGAUCGAGCGACGCCGCGUGCAGGAAGAAGGCCUUCGGGUCGUAAACUGCUUUUGCGUGGGAAAAAUUUAUGAUUGUACCACGAGAAUAAGGGGUUGCUAACUCUGUGCCAGCAGCAGCGGUAAUACAGAGACCCCGAGCGUUAUCCGGAAUUACUGGGCGUAAAGCGCAAGUAGUCGGUUUUGUUAGUCUGAUGUUAAAUCUCUGGGCCCAACCCAGAGGCCGCAUCGGAAACGGCAGAACUAGAGCGAGUUAGAGGCAAGCGGAACGUGUGGUGUAGCGGUGAAAUGCGUUGAUAUCACACGGAACACCAAAAGCGAAGGCAGCUUGCUGGGACUUUGCUGACGAUCAGUUGCGAAAGCGUGGGGAUCAAAAAGGAUUAGAUACCCUUGUAGUCCACGCCCUAAACGAUGCAGACUAGCUAUCGGGAGCAUCGACCCUCCCGGUGGCGCAGCUAACGCGUUAAGUCUGCCGCCUGGGAAGUACGAUCGCAAGAUUAAAACUCAAAUGAAUAGGCGGGAGCUCGCACAAGCGGUGGAUCAUGCGGUUCAAUUCGACACAGAGCGAAAAACCUCACCAGGGUUUGAAAUCCAGCUGCACGCUUCGGGAAACCGAGGAAGCCUUCGAGGGUGCUGGACAGGUGCUGCACGGCUGUCGUCAGCUCGUCAUGUGAAUGGUUCCCUUCAGUGGGGAAACGAGCGCAACCCCUAUUGCCUGUUAUAAGUGUCAGGCGAGACUGCCCGGGAUGACCGGGAGGAAGGCGGGGAUGACGUCAAGUCAGCGUGGCCCUCUGAUAUCCUGGGCUACACGCAUGAUACAAUGGGAAGUAACAAUGGGUUGCCAAGCCGCGAGGCGGAGCUAAUCCCAUCAAACCUUCCCCCAGUUCGGAUAGGAGGCUGAAACUUGCCUCCUUGAAGCCGGAAUCGCUAGUAAUCGCAGAUCAGCACGCUGCGGUGAUACGUUCUCGAGCUUUGCACACAC
rnacentral:rRNA from 1 species